CAGGGAGGAGAAAGAUUGAUUGUUGCUCUCAUGAGUAAUGGGCCCAGAAUGCGAAAGAGGACAGCAACGGUGGGCAAACAGACUUUUAUGAUCAACUCCCCUGAAAGUUAAGAUUUUCUAGAUUUAUUUGACUCUACCAAUUCAGACAUC